GUUAUCAAGGAACAGGAAGAUUUUCUCAUCGUGGUCUAAAUCAAUCACUAUUUAUUAUUAUUUCAGCUGUUUAAAUGAAACUAUCUGCCCAAAGGAUGGUUAUAAGUUACAGAUAUGAUCUUACUUCUUACAUUCCAAGCAGUUCAUUGCUAUUUUGUAGCUGUUUUUGCUAUUUUUAGCUAUUGUACUGUUCUAGCCACGAGUUCCACCUCUCAUUAAGUGGGUUGGUCACUGAUUGUAGUUAAAAGUACGAAUAGAAUUAUUAGAUAAAAUUAUUUUGAUACCCGAGGACACCCGAUACCCUUUAAAGGGUAUUUUCUCAGUGUAAUCCCGGUAAGUUGUUUGCCAUAAAUUGAAUAGAAAACUCAAAUGUGGUGGAAAACAGAAUGGAAGAUAAGUUAGUCAUUAGAAACCAUACGGUGGAAUGAAAUGGAAAUUUGAGAAACCUACUCUUCAAAUUCAAAACGUGUUAAGUUUGGAAGCUUACUGCAUAUUGCCAGAUCCACACUAGCAGAGUGAAGAGAAAAAUUGAGACAAUUAUCCACAUAAUUCAGACAAAAAAUUAAGAUCCAAACCCAAACCGUUUUGCCUAGAUAAUCUUGUGUUUGAAUAUUUUUUUGCCUGAAUUGUUUGUCUCAGUUUGCCACUUCAUUUUG
rnacentral:lncRNA from 1 species